rnacentral:rRNA from 1 species
UACGAAGGGGGCUAGCGUUGCUCGGAAUCACUGGGCGUAAAGCGCACGUAGGCGGAUUGUUAAGUCAGGGGUGAAAUCCUGGAGCUCAACUCCAGAACUGCCUUUGAUACUGGCGAUCUUGAGUUCGGGAGAGGUGAGUGGAACUGCGAGUGUAGAGGUGAAAUUCGUAGAUAUUGGGAAGAACACCGGUGGCGAAGGCGGCUCUCUGGACCGAUACUGACGCUGAGGCGCGAAAGCGUGGGGAGCAAAC